AAGUUGCUCUUAGUGAAGUGUAACAUAAAAUUUAAUGUACCUCAUUUACAUUGAGGUAAUAUCUAUUAUUGAUCUCUUUAA
rnacentral:tRNA from 1 species